UGCAGACAUCAGGCCAGGGACAGCAUGGAGAAUCACAUGUGUUAACAGCUAAUGCUAACAGAGAGCAGAGUAAAAGGGAGGCUAAGACACGCAGCGUCCUGCGCGUCCGGAAGAACUGAUUCAUUCCAGCCGCUGAGAUCAGGGAAGGUUUCAUGGAGGAGGCGGCACUGAGCUGAGCUUACCGAAGGCAAGCCUGGGAGGCAGCUGACAGAAGGGCUAGGGCAAAGGCCAGGGCUUGGCCCCUGCUAGUCUGCCAUGGGGCAGCUUGGUCAUGGUCACGGUCACUCGGCAGAGCAGGGCAGAGGGUGUGUGGGCCUGGGGAAAACAGCGGUGGUGCCAGAACUUGAUAGCUCUUCUCGACCUGGGACAGAGGCCGCUGGGGAAGUGAUUCCUAUUGUUUCUGUUUCCUGCUCAGGGGCCGGAGGGGAGGAGGCGGCUGAUUGUCAAAGAGGCCUUGAGAGCUUCUUAAGAGGUCAAGAGGGAGGAAGAAUAGGAAAUGGCCCCCUUGAAGAAAAAAGCUUUCACCUCCAAGGCCCGGAAAAUCCUCGCUACCUGGCUCCGGCCCCAGCCAACCAGACCGGGGCAGGCCGUGCUCACGGCAGAAGGCAUCUCCUCUGUAAAGGCCUCCCUUUGUCAAGACAGCUCGUGCUCAACACGCAAGUCCCAGCUUUGCCAUCCCUGUCUUUUUGGGGAACCUUCCCAAGAGAGGGUCCGGGGCCAUUUCUGAUCUCCUCCGGGAUACCCUCUUCACACUGGAUUAUAAUCGAAACCAAACAAUCAAAUAAAAGUUCCCUGAAACCACGCAGAGACACUGAGCUCUUGAUGGGCUUCACUGUUGUGAGAAUUAAUAUCCUCUGAUAACUCCACACAGUGGGCACAGUGAUCACCCCCUUUUGUCAGAUGGGCAAACUGUGAUUCAGAGAGGUUGAGCCCCUCGCUCAAGGUCACACAGGGAGUGAGUUGUGGAGUCAGAUGUCAGAGCCAGCUCCGUGGACACCCAGAGGUGCCACCCAGAUCUGCCUUCGAGGAGAGACUCCGCUUCAGCUGCUGGGAAGGUCUGCAGACAGCUUUUCAGCUAAGAGUACUUUUAAGAUCUCCUCAGCCCCGGAGAGCCACCUUGCCCAGAGGGUAGCCCACAUCUGGGGACUGGUCAGCAUGGGGUAUAAAGGCUUGGCCUCCGUGGAGCAAGUCGGGUCAACCCUGUAAGGCCGUUCUAGCUUCAGAGUUCCUGGGGGUGGGUGGCAGUCCUUGCUGGGCCUCAGCUUCUUCUGCCCAGUCCUGCCGCCUUCUCUUGGCAGUUGACCCCAUGGCACCUCUGUCCCAAGCAAGCCAUGAAGACGCGCACACAGGCCGGGUCUUCCCACAGCGUCAGCAG